GGAAGUAAAAACAAGGUCUCCGUAGGUGAACCUGCGGAGGGAUCAUUACAGAGUUCAUGCCCUACCGGGUAGAUCUCCCACCCUAUGUUAUUAUUACUUUGUUGCUUUGGCGGGCCGUUAGGCUCCGGCCCGACUACCGGCCCCGGCUGGUAAGCGCCCGCCAGAGGACCCAAAACCCUGAAUAUUAGUGUCGUCUGAGUACUAUAUAAUAGUUAAAACUUUCAACAACGGAUCUCUUGGUUCUG
rnacentral:misc_RNA from 1 species